rnacentral:rRNA from 1 species
GACGAACGCUGGCGGCGUGCUUAACACAUGCAAGUCGAACGGAAAGGCCCUGCUUUUGUGGGGUGCUCGAGUGGCGAACGGGUGAGUAACACGUGAGUAACCUGCCCUUGACUUUGGGAUAACUUCAGGAAACUGGGGCUAAUACCGGAUAGGAGCUCCUGCUGCAUGGUGGGGGUUGGAAAGUUUCGGCGGUUGGGGAUGGACUCGCGGCUUAUCAGCUUGUUGGUGGGGUAGUGGCUUACCAAGGCUUUGACGGGUAGCCGGCCUGAGAGGGUGACCGGCCACAUUGGGACUGAGAUACGGCCCAGACUCCUACGGGAGGCAGCAGUGGGGAAUAUUGCACAAUGGGCGGAAGCCUGAUGCAGCAACGCCGCGUGCGGGAUGACGGCCUUCGGGUUGUAAACCGCUUUCGCCUGUGACGAAGCGUGAGUGACGGUAAUGGGUAAAGAAGCACCGGCUACUACGU